GAUGAAGAACGUAGCGAAAUGCGAUACAUGGUGUGAAUUGCAGAAUCCCGUGAACCAUCGAGUCUUUGAACGCAAGUUGCGCCCGAAGCCAUUAGGCCGAGGGCACGCCUGCCUGGGCGUCACACGUCGUUGCCCCCCCAUCUACUCCUUCGGGAUUGCGGGGGGCGGAUGAUGGCCUCCCGUGCGCCUCGUCGCGCGGUUGGCCUAAAUGCCAAGUCCUCGGCGACGCACGCCACGACAAUCGGUGGUUGCGAAACCUCGGUUGCCCGUCGUGUGCGGUCGUCGCGCAUCGAGGGCUCGAAAAAAUUGCCGGGCUUCGGCUCGACUUUCAACGCGACCCCAGGUCAGGCGGGGUUACCCGCUGAAUUUAAGCAUAUCAAUAAGCGGAGGA
rnacentral:misc_RNA from 1 species